GACGAACGCUGGCGGCAUGCCUAAUACAUGCAAGUCGAGCGAACAUUUAUAGAGCCUUGCCUCUUUAAAUUUUCGCGGGGCGUGUGAGUGUCACAUGUAUGCCACCUCCCCUGCACUUGGGGAUAACCCCGGGAAACCGGGUCUUAUACCCUAUUAUCAGUUACUCCGCAUGGCCAUACUCUAAAAGACUUUUUCGGCUGUCACUAGAGGAUGCCCCCGCGGCGCAUUAGCUAGUUGGUGGGAUAACGGCCUACCAAGGCAACGAUGCGUAGCCGACCUGAGAGGGUGAUCGGCCACACUGGAACUGAGACACGGUCCAGACUCCUACGGGAGGCAGCAGUAGGGAAUCUUCCACAAUGGGCGGAAGCCUGAUGGAGCAAUGCCGCGUGAGUGAAGAAGGUCUUCGGAUCGUAAAGCUCUGUUGUGAGGGAAGAACAAGUGCGGGAGUAACUGCCCGUACCUUGACGGUACCUAAUGAGAAAGCCACGGCUAACUACGUG
rnacentral:rRNA from 1 species